UACGUAGGGAGCGAGCGUUGUCCGGAUUUAUUGGGCGUAAAGAGCUCGUAGGCGGUUUGGUAAGUCGGGUGUGAAAGCUCCGGGCUCAACUCGGAGAGGUCACUCGAUACUGCCAUGACUGGAGUCCGGUAGGGGGGUGUGGAAUUCCCAGUGUAGCGGUGAAAUGCGCAGAUAUCGGAAGGAACAUCAGUGGCGAAAGCGACUUCCUGGACCAAUACUGACGCUCAUGUGCGAAAGCGUGGGGAGCAAACAGG
rnacentral:rRNA from 1 species